AGGAUUAACGCUGGCGGCGUGCCUGACACAUGCAAGUCGAACGAGGCCGCAAGGCCUAGUGGCGGACGGGUGAGUAAUGCGUAGGAAUCUACCCACGAGUGGGGGAUAGCCCGGAGAAAUCCGGAUUAAUACCGCAUAUGCCUACGGGUAAAGCGGGGAGUCGAUAAGGACCUCGCGCUGGUGGAUGAGCCUACGUCCGAUUAGUUAGUUGGUGGGUAAGGCGUACCAAGGCUACGAUCGGUAGCUGGUCUGAGAGGACGACCAGCCACACUGGGACUGAGACACGGCCCAGACUCCUACGGGAGGCAGC
rnacentral:rRNA from 1 species